rnacentral:rRNA from 1 species
UACGGAGGGGGCUAGCGUUGUUCGGAAUUACUGGGCGUAAAGCGCUUGUAGGCGGCACGUCAAGUCGCGUGUGAAAAUCCCCAGGCUUAACCUGGGAAGUGCGCGCGAAACUGACGAGCUUGAGUGCCGGAGAGGGUCGCGGAAUUCCCGGUGUAGAGGUGAAAUUCGUAGAUAUCGGGAGGAACACCAGUGGCGAAGGCGGCGACCUGGACGGACACUGACGCUGAGACGCGAAAGCGUGGGGAGCGAACAGG